rnacentral:rRNA from 1 species
CUACGGGUCGCUGCAGCGAGGAAUAUUGCACAAUGGGGGGAACCCUGAUGCAGCAACGCCGCGUGGAGGAUGACGCAUUUCGGUGUGUAAACUCCUUUUAUAUGUCAAGAAAAUGACGGUAGCAUAUGAAUAAGCACCGGCUAACUCCGUGCCAGUAGCCGCGGUAAUACGGAGGGUGCAAGCGUUACUCGGAAUCGCUGGGCGUAAAGGACGCGUAGGCGGGUUGGAAAGUCAGGUGUGAAAUCCUACAGCUUAACUGUAGAACUGCACUUGAAACUUCUAAUCUAGAGUAUGGGAGGGGGAGAUGGAAUUAGUGGUGUAGGGGUAAAAUCCGUAGAUAUCACUAGGAAUACCUAAAGCGAAGGCGAUCUCCUGGAACAUUACUGACGCUAAGGCGUGAAAGCGUGGGGAGCAAACAGGAUUAGAUACCCUCGUAGUC